AUUGAACGCUGGCGGCAGGCCUAACACAUGUAAGUCGAACGAGUGGCGGACGUGUGAGUAAUGUCUGGUAAAAUGCCCGAUGGAGGGGGAUAACUACUGGAAACGGUAGCUAAUACCGCAUACCAUCGGAUGUGCCACGAUGGGAUUAGCUAGAAGGUGGGGUAACGGCUCACCUAGGCGACGAUCCCUAGCUGGUCUGAGAGGAUGACAAGCCACACUGGAACUGAGACACGGGCCAGACUCAUACGGUAGGCAGAAGUGGUGAAUAUUGCACAAUGGACACAAGCAUGAUGCAGCCAAGCCGAGUGUAUGAAGAAGGCCUUCGGGUUGUAAAGUGCUUUCAGCGAGGAGGCGUUACUCGCAAAAGAAUCACCGGCUAACUCCGUGCCAGCAGCCGCGGUAAUAC
rnacentral:rRNA from 1 species